rnacentral:rRNA from 1 species
CCUACGGGCGGCAGCAGUGGGGAAUAUUGCACAAUGGGGGAAACCCUGAUGCAGCGACGUCGCGUGAAGGAUGAAUUAUUUCGGUAUUGAAAGCUCUAUCAGCAGGGAAGAAAAUUACGGUACCUGACUAAGAAGCCCCGGCUAACUACGUGCCAGCAGCCGCGGUAAUACGUAGGGGGCAAGCGUUAUCCGGAUUUACUGGGUGUAAAGGGAGCGUAGACGGCGGUGCAAGCCAGAUGUGAAAGCCCGCGGCUCAACCCUGGGACUGCAUUUGGAACUGUGCUGCUAGAGUGUCGGAGAGGCAGGCGGAAUUCCUAGUGUAGCGGUGAAAUGCGUAGAUAUUAGGAGGAACACCAGUGGCGAAGGCGGCCUGCUGGACGAUGACUGACGUUGAGGCUCGAAAGCGUGGGGAGCAAACAGGAUUAGAUACCCGUGUAGUC